rnacentral:rRNA from 1 species
UAGGGAAUCUUCCACAAUGGACGCAAGUCUGAUGGAGCAACGCCGCGUGAGUGAAGAAGGUCUUCGGAUCGCAAAACUCUGUUGUUAGAGAAGAACACGAGUGAGAGUAACUGUUCAUUCGAUGACGGUAUCUAACCAGCAAGUCACGGCUAACUACGUACCAG